rnacentral:lncRNA from 10 species
AGGAAAAUGAUACGGAUUAACAUCAGCCAAGGAAGAAGGGCAGAGGGGGAGUCUGGGGAUUACGGCGUGCAGCUUCAAGGUCCUCCCGUGGUCCUCUCCCUGUGUAGUCAGGCCUCAUUACUUGCCCUGCACUGAUGUGUGGCCUUACACACGAAGUACUGCCAGCCAGGGAAGCUCACUUGAGCCACAGUGUGCAGAACGUUUACUGGGCUCCAUUGCAUGUGCAUGAUUGAUUGAUUGUUUGAUUGCUUUCAUGCUUGAUCUCAGCCUCUUGGUUAAGUGAUAUCCAUGUAACCCUAAGCCCCCACCAUAAAUCACACUGUUACUCUCUGGCUAGCCGAAGACUCCCAGGCAAACAAAGAUUGCCUUCCAGGAGGAGAAGGCAAGGCCAGAUUUGUUUUUAAACAAGGUUAAAGUCUUUACUGCCUCCUGGAGGAGGUGGCUUUGGUCUGACCAGAAGGCAGCGCUAAGAAAUCUGCUUGAGAGCAACAGGCUACACAUUAAAAAACAGGACGUUUUGGACUUGGUUCUAGGUGUGAUGUGGUUCUGUUACCCGAUGGAAGGUCUUGACAGCCAGUUGUCCAGAGAAAAAAAAUGAAGUUGUGAAUAAUCGUUGUGGGAAUUCAGGGACCCUGAAUGGAGGGACCGGCUGAAG